UGCAGAACAAUGUUUGUACCCUGCAAGACGGAGGUAACAGAUUGCACAAACACAUUUAAACAUUAUCAGCUGUUCACUAACACUGUUACAUAUUCUGGAAUUUUCAAUUGAAUGGGAGAUUACAAUAGGGUAGACGAAUACCCAAUUUUUCAAGAAGAAGAAAACGAAAAGCGCAGUUUAUUUUGGAUUUUAAAGAGAGAAAAGGAAAAAGAUUAAAAAAGAGAAAAAGAAAUCGGUUGGACCAUUUGGAAAAUUCUAAUCUAUUACGUAUAACAAACAAAUAAGAGAGUAAUUUUUAAAUUAUUAGAGUUAAAUAGUGCAUAUUUAAUUCAAACAGUUGUUAUAGAUAGUGAAUUUUUGUGAAAUAUGUAAUUUGUGCUUUAUAUCUACAUAUAUGUAAAUGUAAAAAAUUUAAAAUAUAAAUUGAAACAAAUUGUCCGGUUGCAAUUAUAAUUGUGUAGAAUUUAGAAUAUCCAGGAUUUCGGGAAUAAAAUAGGUAUGGUCGGAUAGAGGAGGUUCUGCAGAUCAAUAGUGUAAUCCUUUAAUUGAUGUUAAAUAAAUAUAAUUGAACAAUAAGUUAAUAUUAAAAAAAAUCCACACGAAUUGGUGAAGUGUUAGUGGACAUAAAAAUGCGAAAGGGUCGGCUUUAGUAUACCGUCCCAGGAUUUCGGGUAUGGUCGGAUAGAGGAGACUCUCCAGAUCACGAACAGUGUGACAGUUUGUAAUUCAUUUAUUAUUCUUAAAGAAUCAUAAUUCAACAAUAAUUUAAAUGUAUAUUAAAAGCUAUUUUUGAAAUAUAUUAUAUAAAAUAAAUGCGUACAAAUGAAUUAGUGAAGUGUUAGUGGAUAUUAAAGUGCAAAAAUAUAAGUGCAAAAUUAAUUUUAUAUAUCGAAAAUAUGUAAUUAAAAUAUUGCAAAUUUUCAACUUUAAACGCGAAUAUCUCGUAAACUAUGAGCUUCCUGCGGCUAUAACUAUAUAUAUCCUUGAUCAGGAUAAUCUCCUCUAUCCAACCAUAUCCUUUUUAUCCUUGAAAUCCUGGGACGGUAUACUAAAUUCUUCCCCGCAAAUAUCUCGAAUAUUCCCGCGAGUAUAAGUAUAUAUACUCUUGAACUGAAGAACCUCCUCUUUAACUAAAAAUGUUUACUUGUUCGUUUAAGAUAUCUGUUCGUAUGCAGAAUAUCUAAAUUUGUUUAAAAUAAAAACAACAUUAGUGUUUUAUAAUGAAUAAAAGUGAACAUAGUUCGAAUAUGCAUAUACGCAUUCCUGCUCCGAAGCAUGAUUUUAAAAAUUAAAUUAAAAUUAAAAUAUCAUUAAUCAUCACAUUUUUUAUGAUUUUUCAUAGAAUGAAUUUUGAUGACCUCGUGGAAGAAAUGGAUUCCGAAGUUGAAUCCUCACAACCGUUGAGCCCCCAUAGAGGUUGUAUUGAACAUAAAUAUUUUUCAUUUUUUAAUAAUAUUUUUUUACAGAUAAAGUGUUUAAAAAAUAUCAUACGUUUAUAUGCAAUCAUGUGUAUUCAUAUGAAUUCUUUUUGUGCAUAUUUAUAAAUACAUGUGCAAUUGAAUACAUUUGAAUUAAAUUACUUUUUCAAAGCAAUAUUCGUAGUUAAUGUGAAAAUAAAGAAUAUUUUUUAAUUAUUUUUUGUAUUUGAUAUAUUCAUACUUAUAUGUAUACUUCAUUACAUAUGUAUAUAACAAACUAUCAUAAUAUAUUAAAAAAAUUAAAUAUAUUAUAAUAGCGAUAAAUGUAAAUAAAUCGUAUAUAUUAUCAUUUAAAACUUAUAUUCACAUGUAUCAUGAUCGUAUGUGUUUAUGUUCGCUUUCGCGAAUUCAAAUCAUAUUGUCACUAUAUGCCACAUAUGUAUGUAAAUAUGUACACUUAUGGCUACAUACCACAUUUUUAUGUAUACAUGUACACUCAGUGCUUCUUGCAAAAGAAGCUCAAGUUUUGUCAAUGUCGACCGACCGACCCGACGACAAAGCGUCACAACAUUGUGUUGUUGGUGGAAAAUCCAGCUGUGCCGAAAAAAUAAGCGAAAAAUCGUUGAUUAUCACCGCUUCCCUUGUCGCUCUAACACAGUGUUUCCCAAAGUGGGCGAUAACGCCCCCUUGUGGACGCUGCAGGUGUCAAGGGGGCGGUAAGAGAUCCAGAAAUAAAAUGGCGUUGUGUAGAGGCUUGGGUUUUAUUUGUAAUUUUAUUUAGCUAGGAGGCCUCUUAGACAACGACUACAUGAGCUCUCGAAUCUCAACAACAACUUGUGAACAUUAACUAAUAUGAAUUAAAAGAUUGCUCAAACUCCUAUUUUAUUGAAUAUAGAAAAAAUGAAAAUCAUGUCAAUCGGUCGCUCGGUUUAAUAACGGGGCAUCUCGACAGGAUAUAAUUUAUAGAAUACUUACUGUGAAACGUAUUGCUAUUGCCAUUGCCAAGUCUGUAUGUGGGCAUUUGCUAUCAUAAUAUAAUCAUUUGCGCAAAGGUGUAGGGUAGAUAGGUUCGAGCUGAUGUAGCGAAUGCUUUGAGCUCUUGAAUAAUUUAUUUUAUCACUUGCGAAAUGGCGUCGGGCAGGUAGCUAAUGUAACGCACGUUUUGAGCUUUUGAACUCCUUAAAUCUUUUAUGUGGAAAAUAAAAAAAGGAUCUUUAUCCUUUAUUACAAAUGUAUUUCUGGAAAAAAUAAGAUAAUACGAAAAGGGGAAAGAUCCUUUGUUUACAAAUGUAUUUCUAGGAAAAAUAAGAAUUCAUAUUUUUGGAAUACUAUAUAAUAAUUGUGCUUAAGCAUUCCUAUAUAAACAAUGUAAUAUUUAUUUUAUAUUCAUUUGUGGUUCUGCGCGCUGAGCAUUACUUACGCCUCCUUUACACUACUCGCGAAGUUAAACGUAUUUCUAAAAGCAAACCAAUGCCGGAAGUAAAAAAGAAGAGACGGCAAUACUGUGCGGAAUACAUUAAAAUCGGGUUCAUUGAAAAUCCCACAAACCCAUCCUCGCCUUUGUGUCUUCUAUGUCUAAAAACAUUUUCGAAUGAAGCAAUGAAGCCUUCAAGACUGCAAGAUCAUUUGAAUAAAAUGCAUCCAGAUAAGAGAGACAAUAAUGUAGCAUAUUUUCAAGACCUAGAGAAGAAGCAUAAUACUCAGCCAAGUGUAGCAAAAUUAUUUUCGGCGGUUGCUAAGCAAGAUGGCGACGGACUUCAAGCUUCGUACAAUAUCUCUUUGUUAAUUGCUCAAAAAGGCAAACCACAUAACAUCGGAGAAGAGUUAAUAUUGCCAGCAUAAAAUGAAGUAAUAACUACCGUGCUUCAUAAACCGGCCGCAGAUAUUAUCCGAAAAAUUCCUUUGAGUAAUAAUUCUGUGCAAAGACGAAUUGAUGAAAUGGCUGAAAACAUUGAAGAAUCAUUGUGCGAUCACCUGAGGACAAGCCAAUUCUCAAUUCAGCUCGAUGAGUCCACUUUACCAACUAAUGAAGCAUUGUUGUUGUCUUACGUGAGGUUUAUUAAAAAUGAGAAAAUAUGUGAAGAACUAUUAUUUGAUAGAAAUUUAGAGAGAGAUACAAAAGUCGAAACCAUAUUCAAUAUAUUGGAAAAGUUUUGCGAUGAGAAAGGGAUUCCUUUGGAAAAUAUUAUUUCAAUUGCUACGGAUGGCGCUCCGGCUAUGAUAGGGUGCCAUAAAGGCUCAAUAGCGCACUUGAAAAAUAAAAUUCCAGAUGUUCUUGGUGUACAUUGCGUUAUUCAUAGACAACAUUUAGUUGCUAGAAACUUAAGUGAAAAACUAUUUCAAUCACUGCAAUAUGUCAUCAAAGCAGUCAAUAAAAUCCGCAACAGCUCUUUGAAUGAUAGAUUAUUUCAUCGGCUUUGUGUUACUAAUGACUAGGAUUUCAAUCGUUUGUUGUUUCAUACUGAAGUUCGUUGGCUAUCAAGAGGCAAUUGUCUGACUUGAUUCUACAACCUGUUUGACUCUGUUAUAGAAUUCUUGGAAACUAAAGAUACAGAAUUUCAAGGCAAGCUCAUAACAUCAAAGAAUGAAUGAAUGAAUAUAGCUUACAUGACAGACCUGUAUAAAUUGUUCAACGACGUGAAUCUCCAACUGCAAGGCGAUAAACUAAAUUUAAUUAAAACAAAAAACGUCGUUGCUGCUUUCGCAGCCAAACUGCUUCUACACAAAAAGAAUCUGGGCAGACGUGAGUUUCACAAUUUUCCGAAUAUAUCAGUAUCAUGCAGUAACGACGAAUUGUUUACCUAGUGCCAACAUUUAGAAAACCUCCACAUUGACUUCACCGAACGAUACCAGGACAUUUUGAACUUGAAAAUACAAGACUGGGUGUUGGAUCCGUUUUCAAAUGUCAACACAGCAAUGUCACCUCAGCUGGAAGAAGAACUUAUAGAAUUGACAACAAACGAGGAAAUAAAAAUCAAGUUCAAAAAUGGUUACCAAGAAUUUUGGCUACAAAAACCGAUCUCGCAAUUGUACCCUGGAUUGUGGUCAAUCGUUUAACGAUUCUUGAUAGCAUUCCCAUCGUCAUAUUUGUGUGAACGUGGAUUUAGUGCUGUGACAACACUGCUUACUAAAAAUAGAAAUCGUUUGCUUGUUACCGAACGCGGCGACUUGCGAGUGUUCUUGAGUAAAUUGGAACCUGAUAUUAACAAAAUUAUUCAACAGCAUCAGAUUCAUACUUCACAUUAGUUUUUAUAUAUGGAUCGAUUAUUUUAGUUUUAUUUUUAAUAAAGGAUUCUCUGUUUUAAUACUAUAAAGUUGUGUUUCAAUAAUCAUUCUUAUUGGCAGGUGGAGCCCGUAAGAGUUAACUUGAAACCUAAGCGCCGUUGUAUGUUACCUAUUGCGCUCAGGUUUCAAGUUGCUGGUUAUAGUAAAAGUUUCGUUUAGAAUCCUCCGUUAAUAUACAUAUAUAGGUCACAAUAAUUAAUUUGAAGUUAUAGUGGUUUUUAAAUAUGGGGAAAAAUGUAGGCGCUAAAGAAAUAUUUGUUCUCAAAGUGGGCGGUAGACAAAAUAAGUUUGGGAACCACUGCUCUAACAGCUCUACCACGAACUUGCGUAAAUAUGUAUGAAGAUGUAUGAGCGUACAUAUCGACGCAGAUUUUUGCGAGCACGGAAAAAUAUUUUAGAACUGACAAGUAUUAUAAAUCGACAACAGCUAUGUUGCCACUUUUCUCACUUCGUUCUGUGAAGAAACAUCAGAAAGUUGUUCAAUUCACGAUUUUCAGUUUUCGCCAUCGUCGCGAAAAGACUCUUGUAGGCAAAGGCAUGCUCGGGGAGAUGUAAUAGUGUUUGAUUUUAUGAAUGAAGCGAGUUUGCCUGUUGAAAGUGCGCUUGCGUUCAGCAAAAUAAUUGCAACAUUUUGCGCGAAUUGUGACCGAAUGUAAAAGUUUAACCAUGAAUUUUUUAAUAAAUAUAGCGAUAGAUAAUUUUGAAAGCAGUGAUAAUAACUUGCUGUUCAAGUACGGAAAAAAUAGAAAACAAAGUUUUUUAAGAAAGAGAAAGUGGUACCUCGCUGAAAUUUCAAAAAAGAGGAGAGUGACGAAGAUGUCAAAGGUUUGGAAAACAAUUCCAUUAUACCAUAAUGAUACAUAUUUCACGCAUUUUCUCAUGACUCGUGAAACAUUUGCAGUAAGUAUUGUUGUUUACUUUUUGGAAGUACCUGAUAAAUAAAUUAAUUUGUCUUAGGACUUGAAAAAUGCGUUAGAACCUUUUUGGUCAACAUCACGCGAGGAAUAUUCCUUGGAACAUUCCUUGCAUAUGACUCUUUGGAGGCUAAGCAAUAGUAGAGUCACAUAUCGCGAGCUUGCAGAUAGAUUUAUUGUUGGGCAAGGAACUGCCCACAAACUUUUCCUCAAAACAAGCAAGACAAUCUGCAAACUUAAAAACGAAAUAUGUUGGCCGUCAAUUUCACAGCAGAAAAAAAUAAUGGAAAACUUUCAAACAAGCCGGGUAAAUUCAUUUCCUUUUGUUGUCAGAUGCUUAGAUGGAACGCAUACCAAAUUAUGUAACACUCUUCAAACGGAUGCAAUUAGUUAUUAUGACCGUAAAGGAAAUUUUUCAGUUGUUAUGCAGGUAUGUACUUGGCUAAUAGAUCUGUUUUAAGAUUGGUGUUAUAUAUUCAAUUAUUUAGGCCAUAUGCGACAGUAAGUUCUGUUUUUAGAUGUGUUCAUCGGAUACCCAGGUAGCUGUCAUGAUGCCAAUGUGUGGAAAAAUAGUCCAAUUUACAAAGGGAUCACAUCUGGAGAAAUAAAACUUGCGAAAGAUGCAAUUAUUCUAGCCGAUUCAUCAUAUCCUGUUUCAAGAUACUUAACUGGUACUUAAUAGAGAUAACGGACACCUUUCCAGAGAGGAAAAACAAUUCAACUAUUAUAUGAGUUCAACCCGAGUAUUUAUCGAGCAAACAUUUGGAAUUUUCAGGGUUAAGUUCAAAAUAUUGAAUCAUAUUGAUAUGCGAAAUAUAGAAGACAUAUCAACUGUGAUAUUAUCUUGCGCAAUUUUACAUAAUUUUAUACUGCGAAGCAGU